AGAGCGAACGCUGGCGGCAGGCCUAAUACAUGCAAGUCGAACGGAUCCUUCGGGAUUAGUGGCGGACGGGUGAGUAACACGUGGGAACGUACCCUUUGGUUCGGAACAACUCAGGGAAACUUGAGCUAAUACCGAAUGUGCCCUUCGGGGGAAAGAUUUUAUCGCCAUUGGAGCGGCCCGCGUCUGAUUAGCUAGUUGGUAGGGUAAAGGCCUACCAAGGCUACGAUCAGUAGCUGGUCUGAGAGGAUGAUCAGCCACACUGGGACUGAGACACGGCCCAGACUCCUACGGGAGGCAGCAGUAGGGAAUCUUGCGCAAUGGGCGAAAGCCUGACGCAGCCAUGCCGCGUGAAUGAUGAAGGUCUUAGGAUUGUAAAAUUCUUUCAGCGGGACGAUAAUGACGGUACCCGCAGAAGAGCCCGGCUAACUUCGUGCCAGCAGCCGC
rnacentral:rRNA from 1 species